UACAGAGGUCUCAAGCGUUGUUCGGAUUCAUUGGGCGUAAAGGGUGUGUAGGUGGCGCGCUAAGUCAGGUGUGAAAUCUCGGGGCUUAACUCCGAAACUGCAUUUGAUACUGGCGUGCUUGAGGACUGGAGAGGAGACUGGAAUUCAUGGUGUAGCAGUGAAAUGCGUAGAGAUCAUGAGGAAGACCAGUGGCGAAGGCGGGUCUCUGGACAGUUCCUGACACUGAGGCACGAAGGCCAGGGGAGCAAACGGG
rnacentral:rRNA from 1 species